rnacentral:rRNA from 1 species
UACGUAGGGUGCAAGCGUUGUCCGGAAUUAUUGGGCGUAAAGAGCGUGUAGGCGGCCCGACAAGUCCGCUGUGAAAGUCCAGGGCUCAACCCUGGAAUGCCGGUGGAUACUGUCGGGCUAGAGUCCGGAAGGGGCGAGUGGAAUUCCUGGUGUAGCGGUGAAAUGCGUAGAUAUCGAGAGGAACACCGGUGGCGAAGGCGGCCAACUGGACGAAUACUGACGCUGAGACACGAAAGCGUGGGGAGCAAACAGG